GACGAACGCUGGCGGCGUGCUUAACACAUGCAAGUCGAACGCUGAAGCUCAGCUUUUGUUGGGUGGAUGAGUGGCGAACGGGUGAGUAACACGUGAGUAACCUGCCCCCUUCUUUGGGAUAACGCCCGGAAACGGGUGCUAAUACUGGAUAUUCACUGGUCUUCGCAUGGGGGUUGGUGGAAAGGGUUUUUCUGGUGGGGGAUGGGCUCGCGGCCUAUCAGCUUGUUGGUGGGGUGAUGGCCUACCAAGGCUUUGACGGGUAGCCGGCCUGAGAGGGUGACCGGUCACAUUGGGACUGAGAUACGGCCCAGACUACUACGGGAGGCAGCAGUGGGGAAUAUUGCACAAUGGGCGCAAGCCUGAUGCAGCGACGCCGCGUGAGGGAUGGAGGCCUUCGGGUUGUGAACUUCUUUCGCUCAUGGUCAAGCCGCAACAAUGGUUGUGGUGAGGGUAGUGGGUAAAGAAGCGCCGGCUAACUACGUG
rnacentral:rRNA from 1 species